rnacentral:lncRNA from 1 species
UCGCAAACCUCAUUACAACAUCUAGGAAUGCCAACUCGACACAUUCUUUCACAUGGCGUUCCAUUGGGACCACACGAUUCGUUGGACAUUAACGAGCCUUACUCAGCCAAAACCGAUGAGAUAAACAAACCUGAAAAUUAAAGUAUAUUCCAUUAGAGAUAAACAGGGAAGAUGAUGGUAAUUAGAGUGCUAGCUAUUGAGACAAACAAAAGACUACGUACCAGACAUGGAAAGCAAUAACAUGACCAUGAACACCAUCUUCAAAUUUUGCUCCAUCUUUUAAGCGAUCGUUUUAAAAGCAAAAUCAAAGGAGUUAGUU